UCAUGCCUCUCUCUUGCCGAUUUAACUCGACUCGAAAGUCCACGCUCGAACCUUAAGACAUUAAUGGACGCGCGAAUCCCGACACGAUGACGCUCGAAUUAUUCUGUUAUCUCAUACAAAUGCGCUGUAAGUGUGUUUCUAACACGGUCUCGUUGGAUAAACAUUGCAUUGAAUCAAUUUAUGUGUUCUUGGCCGAACAUUUAAUUGAAGCAUCCACUCGCUUCGCUUAACAUUUCAAUUCGCCAAUGUGGACGGAGGGAAGGGAAGGAUACAGGGAGUGAAGUAAUAAUAUACAAGGUGUCCCAGAUUUUUCUGUGCAAAUGGCAAGAGUGAAAGUGAAAUGUCAUGCAACAAAAAAUGUAAUUCUUUGGUUAGUUAGAAGCAAUUUUUAGUUAACGAUAAUGAUCUUGGAAAUUAAUAAUGGAUAUGAGAAAUAACAGUUGACUAGUGGAUUUGAAAAAUCUUUUGAUACAAGAAGUUUAAUAAGGGAUAAGUUUCGAAUUGUCGAAAUUUUUUGCAAUUUCUAUUGAUCGAUUACUCGAGCAUGAAAAAUUCCAUAGAUGAAAAUUUGUUAAAAUUUUAAUUCUUUUUUUUAGAAAAAAAAAAUCAGCUAUUCUGGGUUUCAAGAGUUUCAAGACUAUACAAAAUUUGGCGAAUUUAAAAAUUAAUUAAAAAAAUUUUCAACUCUAAUUGUAUGAAUGUAAUAAUAGUUGGAUAUAAAACUUGUUGCAAAUACUGUAGAUAUUUAUUAUAUUUAUAUCCUCACUUUAAAAUGUAAAGUUCAUAUUUACGAAUACAUAUCUGGAAUUAAUGUA